UCGUGCAGCCGGGGUGUUAGCGGUACCUUGUACCUGCAAUCCGCUAUAGCAGGGGUGAUAUUGCGCAGAGGGCGGCAGCUGGCAGAGCUGCCCCCGGUAAGUGAUGUUGAUGUCCGGGUCUCACGCGACGGGAAUCUGUGAACCGUGUCAGGUCGGGAACGGAGCAGCACUAAGCAGAACCUUCCGGGUGCCGUGAGGGUGCCUGGGCUGAGUUAACUGCCGGGGUAACGUCUGUUGGCCAUGUUCGAAGCGCAAUGCACGU
rfam:Lachnoclostridium sp. An169 An169_contig_5, whole genome shotgun sequence.